UGGGGAUAUUAUAUAAACAUUAUUUUAAAUUUUCUUUAUUAACUGAAAAGGGGGUCAGUUAAAUUAAAAAGAAAAUUUAUUUGUUGUUCCUUUUGUAUCAGGAUUAAUUUAAAAUGGGGAUUUAAAAUUAAUUUCUCGAAGAAAAAGGAUUUAAUAAAUUUUAUUUUCAAUGUUAAAAAAUUGAAAUACAAUUCUUGUUUGUUUUGAAAUAAAUGUCGACUUUUUUUAUCUAGUUAUUUGUUAUUUUAAUAAAAUUAAUUUAUAUUUUGCAAUUUUUGUAUAAAUGGUUAAACUUAUAGGGGGAUAAGCUUUUAUCUAUUGAGAAAGAUUAAAAUAUUAUUAAUACUUGUUAUGCUUAGAAUUUGUUUUUUGUUGGAUGUAAAAAUUAAGUUUAAUUGAUUGUUAAUAACUAUUUCUUCUUUUAUAUAACAAAUUGUAAAAUGAAAUUURAUUUUUUAAAUAAAAAUGAUUAAAUUAGUAAAUUUGAAUAAUAAUAGCUAAGAAUUCGGCAAUAUUUAAGUUUCGCCUGUUUAUCAAAAACAUGUCUGGGAGGAUAAAUAUUUUUGGUUAAACCUGCUCAAUGCUUUAUGUAAAUAGCUGCAGUAUUUUGACUGUACAAAGGUAGCAUAAUCAUUAGUCUUUUAAUUGGAGGCUGGAAUGAAAGGUUAAACGAGAACUUAACUUUUUUGUUUUUAUUUAUAUUGAAUUUUAUUUUUAAUGUAAAAAAUCUUAACUUUGUUUAAGGGACGAGAAGACCCUAUAGAAUUUUAUACAUAAUAUGGGAAAAAUGUGUUUUGUUGGGGUGACAAAAAAUAAACAUUUGAUUUUAUUUUUCAUAUUCUUUGAUUUUUUGAUCUAGAUAUUCUAAUAAAAAGAUAAAAUUACCUUAGGGAUAACAGCAUAAUUUUUUUAGGAAGAUCUUAUUUAUAAAAGAGUUUAUGACCUCGAUGUUGAAUUAAAAUAAAAUUGGGUGCAGCAGCUUAUAACUUUUUAGUCUGUUCGACUAGAAUAUUUUACAUGAUUUGAGUUCAAACCGGUGUGAGCCAGGUUGGUUUCUAUCUUUAAAUAAAAAUUCUUUUUAGUACGAAAGGAUUAAAAGAAUUAAUUUUAAUUGUCAAAAUAGAAUGAAAAAAU
rnacentral:rRNA from 1 species